UCAAGUUAUUAAGGGUGCAGGGCGAAUGCCUUGGCACUAGGAGCCGAUGAAGGACGUGAUAAGCUGCGAUAAGCUUGGGGGAGUUGCACGUAAACUGUGAUCCCAAGAUUUCCGAAUGAGGAAACUCACUUAGAGUAAUGUCUAAGUAUCGUAUAGUGAAUACAUAGCUAUGCGAGGGGAACCCGGGGAACUGAAACAUCUAAGUACCCGGAGGAAGAGAAAGAAAUUCGAUUCCGUAAGUAGCGGCGAGCGAACGCGGAACAGGCCAAACCAGUGAAGUUUUCUUCGCUGGGGUUGCGGACAUAUCAUAACGAAGAGGUAUCGUAGAAGAAGAGAGUUGGAAAGCUCCGCCACAGAUGGUAACAGCCCAGUAUUUUAAACGAGAAGACUUUAGAUAUGAUCCAGAGUACCACGGGACACGUGAAACCCUGUGGGAAGCAGGAGGGACCAUCCUCCAAGCCUAAAUACUACCUAGUGACCGAUAGCGUAUAGUACCGUGAGGGAAAGGUGAAAAGAACCCCGGGAGGGGAGUGAAAGAGAACCUGAAACCCUGCACUUACAAGCUGUGGGAGCACAUUAUUUGUGUGACCGCGUACUUUUUGUAGAACGGGCCAACGAGUUACGUUACCUAGCAAGGUUAAGCACUUAAGGUGUGGAGCCGUAGCGAAAGCGAGUCUUAACUGGGCGAUUAGUUAGUUGACGUAGACCCGAAACCGGGCGACCUAUCCAUGGGCAGGUUGAAGCGAAAGUAAAAUUUCGUGGAGGACCGAACCCACGAGCGUUGAAAAGCUCGGGGAUGACCUGUGGAUAGCGGUGAAAUUCCAAUCGAGCCCGGAGAUAGCUGGUUCUCUCCGAAAUAGCUUUAGGGCUAGCCUCAAGAUUGAGAGUAACGGGGGUAGAGCACUGAAUGUCCUAGGGGGUAUUGCACUUACCGAAGACUAUCAAACUCCGAAUACCGUAUACUUAUGCUUGGGAGUCAGACUAUGGGUGAUAAGAUUCAUAGUCAAAAGGGCAACAGCCCAGAUCGUCAGCUAAGGUCCCUAAAUGUACGUUAAGUGGUAAAGGAUGUGGGAUUGCACAGACAACCAGGAUGUUGGCUUAGAAGCAGCCACUCAUUUAAAGAGUGCGUAAUAGCUCACUGGUCGAGUGAUCCUGCGCCGAAAAUUUCCGGGGCUAAAACGUACUACCGAAGCUACGGCAUCAUUUAUGAUGGGUAGGAGAGCUUCCCAUACGGGUUGAAGCAUGACCGAAAGGACAUGUGGACUGUAUGGGAGUGAGAAUGUUGGCAUGAGUAGCGAGAUGUGGGUGAGAAUCCCACAGGCCGUAAACCCAAGGUUUCCAGGGGAAGGUUCGUCCGCCCUGGGUUAGUCAGGACCUAAGCCGAGGCCGAAAGGCGUAGGUGAUGGACAACAGGUUGAUAUUCCUGUACCACCAAUAACCGUUUGAGAAAUGGGAUGACACAGAAGGAUAAGCUAACCGCACUGUUGGUUAUGUGCGGGCAAGUAUUGAGGCAGUUCUGGUAGGCAAAUCCGCCAGAAUAAUGCUAGGGUACGAUGCGGAGCGAAAUUUAGUAGCGAAGUAGCUGAUUUCACACUGUCGAGAAAAGUCUCUAUCGAGGUUAAAGGUGCCUGUACCGCAAACCGACACAGGUGGGUGAGGAGAGUAUCCUAAGGCCAGCGAGAGAACUGUUGUUAAGGAACUCGGCAAAAUGACCCCGUAACUUAGGGAGAAGGGGUGCCUUCGAAAGAAGGCCGCAGAGAAUAGGCCCAAGCGACUGUUUACCAAAAACAUAGGUUUCUGCUAAGUCGCAAGACGAUGUAUAGGAGCUGACGCCUGCCCGGUGCUGGAAGGUUAAGGGGAUCUGUUAGGAUAACCGAAGCAGUGAACUUAAGCCCCAGUAAACGGCGGCCGUAACUAUAACGGUCCUAAGGUAGCGAAAUUCCUUGUCGGGUAAGUUCCGACCCGCACGAAAGGCGUAAUGAUUUGAGCGCUGUCUCGACAAUGCAUCCGGUGAAAUUGAAGUACCAGUGAAGAUGCUGGUUACC
rnacentral:rRNA from 1 species